UCCUUCAAAUUUCGCGCGACAAGCGGCAUGCAUCAUCGUCCUUCGAGUCUCGCCGUCUAACGAAGGAAGGCGGUCAGGAUGGGGUCGUGGUCGGCAGGGAGACGUCCGAGCAUUGGUUUAAGGUCAAGCAUUUAAACUCCUUCCAUGAAUCAUAUACAGAAACAGUAAAAACUGUUGCGAGGAGGUAAGUACAAGGUUAUGGCGUGCCAUGGAUCGAAGGUUCUGCAGAGUGGGCGCCGGAGAGAAGCUGGUUCCGACGACGACGUUCAUCGAAGAACGAGAACACGAGGCGGCAAGAAGGGUAAGCAUGGGAAAGGGGAGCGCAGAGAAAGGGACCAACAAGGUCGAAGGGCUUCAUCGGGAGGAACCUCGAGGCAGAACCUAUCUUUUCGCAACCCAGAAGCACAGUCACAAGAAAUCACCGAUCUCAGAAAGAAGGUUGAUUCUGAUACAGUAAAGUAUUUCUCUGAGAUUGGUUCUCUUCUUGAAGGGAGUGAAAUGGACUUUGAGCAAAUAAGUGCAAUCUGUAGUAAUGCCCUAGAAGAAACAAGGGGUAAGGAAUUGCAGCUUGCCUCUGAUAAGAUUCUUAGCCGAGUGGUAGAAAGGCUGCUUGAAAAUAGUAGCCUAGGUGAACUAUGUGGUUUUCUUCGAAGCUGUGCCCCACAUUUCCCAGACAUUGCAGUGGACCAGGCAGGUUCACAUGUUGCCGAGACUGCUCUGAAAUCUUUGUCUAAUUUUCUUCAUGAUGAAGAUUGUUAUUCUGCUGUUGAGCACACAUUAGCUAAGGUCUGCCAGGAGGUUGCUGCAGUUUCUGGGCGCAUAAUGCUUAGCAGCUAUGGCUCACAUGUCUUUAGAAGUCUUCUUUGUGUGUGUAAAGGAACAAAGUUGGAUGAUUCAGAAAAAAUUCAUGUGUUAAAGCGCACCUCUAGUCUAGCAGAACGCUUGAGUGUUAAGUCAGUUCGGUUGGCAGGGAACUAUCUCACUCAAGAUCGUCAGGGAUUUCCUGAAUUGUUCAAAUGUUUAAUAGGAGGAAUCUUGGGAUAUGCAAGAGAUAAUAUUGCAGACCUGCAAGUUAGUAGUUACAGUAGUCUCGUGCUCCAGACCAUGUUGAAGUUACUAGCAGGAGAUGAUCAAGAGCUUUUCAAUGUAAUCCCUAUCCUCCUCGGAUGCAAUCAUUCUAGUGCUGCUAAAGAUGAAGAAUACCUGGAAACUGCAAAAAUCCAUGAAAUCUUGGUUUUACUUAAAGAUACUGCCUUCAGCCAUUUAAUGGAGGUUAUCCUUGAAGUGGCGCCUGACACUUUAUACAAUGAAAUUUUUCUGAGAGUUUUCAGAGGCUCCUUAUUCGAAAUAUCCUCCCAUAACAGUAGCAAUUUUGUCAGUCAGGCAUUAUUGUCUUCUGUAAGACAUGAAGAUCAAGUUAGCUUAAUCUGGGAGGAACUUGGUUCACAUUUUAAGGAUCUAUUCAAAAUGAGAAAGUCCGGAGUUGUUGCUUCUUUGCUGGCAGCAUGUAGACGUCUCCAUACACAUGAGAAACAGUGUUCUCGGGCUUUAGUUGGUGCAGUUUUAUCUGAAUCUGAAUCUCCAAGUUGCAUUGUUCCACGAAUUAUCUUUCUGGAGAAUUAUUUCAGUUCUGAAGAGAUGACCAGUUGGUCAUGGCCGAGAGGGAUGAAGAUUUCAGUUCUUGGUUGUCUGAUUUUGCAGACUAUUUUUUCUUAUCCAAGUAAAUACAUUCAGCCAUUCGUCUCAAGCAUGAUAGCACUGGAAGCUGGCCUAGUUCUUCAAGUCGCCAAAGAUGCCAGUGGUGGCCAUAUUCUUGAGUCCUUUAUUUCUUCAAAUGUUUCUGUGAAGCGGAAGUACAAACUGAUAGCCAAACUUGAAGGCCAUUUUGGUGAACUUGCGCUGCUGUCAUCUGGCUCUUUCACGGUGGAGAAGUGUUUCACCUGUGGAUCGCUGUCCCUAAAAGAGUUGAUAGUGUCUGAAUUAUCUUCUGUGCAAAUAGCACUCUCCAGGACAAAGCAUGGACCCCAUGUGUUAAAGAAGCUUGAUGUGCCCAGAUUUGCUAACCGUCCUGAACAAUGGAGGUCUAUGCAAGCAUCAAGACAAUCAGCACAGAAGGAGUUCUCUGAGCUUUUUGCUUCUGAAGAGGUCAUGCGGCCAAACAAAAAGGUCAAAAGAAAGGUUGAAGACACCCUUAGCGAGGACAACGAUUUUACUUGAAGGUUCUUGGGCUCAGGCAUGCCUGAUCAUUUAGAUUUCAAUGACCAGGCUGGGAUUCCUGUUGACAGAAUGGGAUAAAAGAUAUGUAAUUUGGUUGCUAAUCCCUUGGGUUGAAAUAAGACAAAGAAACCUGUAUGUCCAAGAGGUCAGCAGGUUCUGAAGAAAAUGUCAUACAUAGCUACAAAAUUGGUGUUCGAGCUGGAACAGAAAUUGAAGUUGGGGCUUGCAUGUGUGACAUGCAAAAACAAUUAAAAGAAUGAAAAAGGAAAAACUUGUACCAUCCUUCUUAACCCCAUUCAAGACAUAAACUCGUUAUAAGUUCAAGUUGGUAUAUCGAAGGACUUCCCAUGUUGCAUGUUCUCUCAAGCCUGCUCUCUUGUUUCAACUUGCUUUGGUGGGAUCUGCUGAUCUGAUGAAUGAGUACCUCUCGUUUCAACGUUUCCUAACCAUACACGAAAGAUAUAAAUAUUAAGCUUCUUGUUCGGAUUUGGUGCAUUAGAAGACCUGAACAUCAGAUAAAACAACUAGUUGAUUUUGCACUUCACAAGAAAAAGUUUAUGCUAAAUUCUUGCUGAAAUUGAAGAAAUGGAUAUGCUGUUGUAAUAGAAUGUUAACCUUCUGUUGUAGACAGUCUACAUGUUUGAUGCCAAUUUUGGGACCAGUGAUUCUGCUGGAGUUCGACGCUAUGGUAAUUCUCAAUAAAAUAUUUACUUUUGCUAGUA